GGCGGACGGGUGAGUAACGCGUAGGAAUCUGUCUUGGAGCGGGGGAUAACCAGGGGAAACUUUGGCUAAAACCGCAUAGACUCGAGAGAGGAAAGCAGGGGACCUGAAAAGGCCUUGUGCUCUAAGGUGAGCCUACGUCAGAUUAGCUAGUUGGUAGGGUAAAGGCCUACCAAGGCGAUGAUCUGUAGCUGGUCUGAGAGGACGGACAGCCACACUGGGACUGAGACACGGCCCAGACUCCUACGGGAGGCAGCAGUGGGGAGUAUUGGACAAUGGGGGCAACCCUGAUCCAGCGAUGCCGCGUGUGUGAAGACGGCCUUCGGGUUGUAAAGCACUUUCAGUUGGGGAGAGAAGCGUGAGGUGAAUAAUCUUACGUGGAGACGUUACUGACAGAAGCAGCACCGGCUAACUCUGUGCCAGCAGCCGCGGUAAGACAGAGGGUGCGAGCGUUAAUCGGAGUGACUGGGCGUAAAGGGCGCGUAGGCGGUUGUAAGGGUCUGAUGUGAAAUGUCUGGGCUUAACCUGGGAUGUGCAUUGGAAACUGUAUGACUAGAGUCUAGGAGAGGAGAGUGGAAUUUCCGGUGUAGCGGUGAAAUGCGUAGAGAUCGGAAAGAACCCUCGUGGCGAAGGCGACUCUCUGGCCUAAGACUGACGCUGAGGCGCGACGGCGUGGGGAGCGAACAGGAUUAGAUACCCUGGUAGUCC
rnacentral:rRNA from 1 species